rnacentral:rRNA from 1 species
AACGAACGCUGGCGGCAUGCCUAACACAUGCAAGUCGAACGAGACCUUCGGGUCUAGUGGCGCACGGGUGCGUAACGCGUGGGAACCUGCCCUUAGGUUCGGAAUAACUCCCCGAAAGGGGUGCUAAUACCGGAUAAUGUCUUCGGACCAAAGAUUUAUCGCCUUUGGAUGGGCCCGCGUUGGAUUAGCUAGUUGGUAGGGUAAAAGCCUACCAAGGCGACGAUCCAUAGCUGGUCUGAGAGGAUGAUCAGCCACACUGGGACUGAGACACGGCUCAGACUCCUACGGGAGGCAGCAGUGGGGAAUAUUGGACAAUGGGCGAAAGCCUGAUCCAGCAAUGCCGCGUGAGUGAUGAAGGCCUUAGGGUUGUAAAGCUCUUUUAACCGGGAUGAUAAUGACAGUACCGGGAGAAUAAGCUCCGGCUAACUCCGUG